AUUAAACUAUAUUUUAUAUUAGAUGUUCUAGAAUUCUUUGAAAUGGAAUUUAGAAGACAUUUAGAGAGCCACCUAGGAUUUGGGGUUUUUUUUAAUUAAUACAAAAUUAAAGUUCUAAUUUUUCAAAUGCUUCUCAAUUAAUAUACAGGGGAUAUAUGUGUUUUUUUGUUAUAAAUUAAUUGGUGGAUGUCCAUAACCGGCCCGGUCAUAACCGGCCCAUACACUUAGAGAGAGAGACGACCCAACCCUAGAGAGAGAAAGGCGGCCGCGAGACUUGGAGAGGAGAGAGAUGCGGCUACAACUUGCCAAUUUCCUAAUUCGUUUAUGUUUAUGAUUUGUAAUCUUUCCUAUUAUUGUAUUUUCAUUUAUCUCUCUUGUAAACCCUAUAUAAAGGAAACACUUAUUCAUUACUAAUAUACAGAAACUUACAGUUCUAAAUCCUAAGUUUCACAACACGUUAUCACCACGAAAGCCUCUAACACCCUGAGCCUAAAACCAAAUCGCUAAAACCCUAAAACCCUAAAUGAAAAGGAAUCUGCCUCGAAACUUCGAAGAG
rnacentral:lncRNA from 1 species